GGAGCCCCACCACCAAAGCAUUCUCUGGUGUUGAAGGCCCUGCAAAGCAGCAUCGCGGUGGCGGAGCGUCGUUUGCGACGCCCAACACACAAAACAAGCGGUGAGUGCUUUGGGGUGGGGUGACUGCGUACCUUUUGUAUAAUGGGUCAGCGACUUAUAUUCUGUAGCAAGGUUAACCGUAUAGGGGAGCCGCAGGGAAACCGAGUCUUAACCGGGCGUUAAGUUGCAGGGUAUAGACCCGAAACCCGGUGAUCUAGCCAUGGGCAGGUUGAAGGUUGGGUAACACUAACUGGAGGACCGAACCGACUAAUGUUGAAAAAUUAGCGGAUGACCUGUGGCUGGGGGUGAAAGGCCAAUCAAACCGGGAGAUAGCUGGUUCUCCCCGAAAGCUAUUUAGGUAGCGCCUCGUGAAUUCAUCUCCGGGGGUAGAGCACUGUUUCGGCUAGGGGGCCAUCCCGGCUUACCAACCCGAUGCAAACUGCGAAUACCGGAGAAUGUUAUCACGGGAGACACACGGCGGGUGCUAACGUCCGUCGUGAAGAGGGAAACAACCCAGACCGCCAGCUAAGGUCCCAAAGUCAUGGUUAAGUGGGAAACGAUGUGGGAAGGCCCAGACAGCCAGGAUGUUGGCUUAGAAGCAGCCAUCAUUUAAAGAAAGCGUAAUAGCUCACUGGUCGAGUCGGCCUGCGCGGAAGAUGUAACGGGGCUAAACCAUGCACCGAAGCUGCGGCAGCGAACGUAUCACUUAAAGCGAUUCAGCGGGUUACGAUUGACGGAGCGAAGCGACGUCAAAGCGUAUACAAAGUCGAGUCGGUUUAAGGAUACGUUCGUUGGGUAGGGGAGCGUUCUGUAAGCCUGCGAAGGUGGCCUGUGAGGGUUGCUGGAGGUAUCAGAAGUGCGAAUGCUGACAUAAGUAACGAUAAAGCGGGUGAAAAGCCCGCUCGCCGGAAGACCAAGGGUUCCUGUCCAACGUUAAUCGGGGCAGGGUGAGUCGACCCCUAAGGCGAGGCCGAAAGGCGUAGUCGAUGGGAAACGGGUUAAUAUUCCCGUACUUGGUGUUACUGCGAAGGGGGGACGGAGAAGGCUAUGUUGGCCGGGCGACGGUUGUCCCGGUUUAAGCGUGUAGGCUGGUUUUCCAGGCAAAUCCGGAAAAUCAAGGCUGAGGCGUGAUGACGAGGCACUACGGUGCUGAAGCAACAAAUGCCCUGCUUCCAGGAAAAGCCUCUAAGCAUCAGGUAACAUCAAAUCGUACCCCAAACCGACACAGGUGGUCAGGUAGAGAAUACCAAGGCGCUUGAGAGAACUCGGGUGAAGGAACUAGGCAAAAUGGUGCCGUAACUUCGGGAGAAGGCACGCUGACACG
rnacentral:rRNA from 1 species